rnacentral:rRNA from 1 species
ACGCUGGCGGCACGCCUAACACAUGCAAGUCGAACGAAGUAGCAAUACUUAGUGGCAGACGGGUGAGUAAUAUGUAGGUAUCUGCCCUUUGGCCUGGAAUAACACGAGGAAACUUGUGCUAAUACCGGAUAAGUCUUUACGGAGAAAGCUUUAUGCACCAUUGGAUGAGCCUGCACUUGAUUAGUUUGUUGGUAGGGUAAUGGCCUACCAAGACUUUGAUCAAUAGCUGAUUUGAGAGGAUGAUCAGCCACAUUGGGACUGAGACACGGCCCAAACUCCUACGGGAGGCAGCAGUGGGGAAUCUUGCACAAUGGAGGAAACUCUGAUGCAGCGAUGCCGCGUGAGUGAAGAAGGCCUUUGGGUUGUAAAGCUCUUUCGUCGGGGAAGAAAAUGACUGUACCCGAAUAAGAAGGUCCGGCUAACUUCGUGCCAGCAGCCGCGGUAAUACGAAGGGACCUAGCGUAGUUCGGAAUUACUGGGCUUAAAGAGUUCGUAGGUGGUUGAAAAAGUUGGUGGUGAAAUCCCAGAGCUUAACUCUGGAACUGCCAUCAAAACUUUUCAGCUAGAGUUUGAUAGAGGAAAGCAGAAUUUCUAGUGUAGAGGUGAAAUUCGUAGAUAUUAGAAAGAAUACCAAUUGCGAAGGCAGCUUUCUGGAUCAUUACUGACACUGAGGAACGAAAGCAUGGGUAGCGAAGAGGAUUAGAUACCCUCGUAGUCCAUGCCGUAAACGAUGUGUGUUAGACGUUGGAAAUUUAUUUUCAGUGUCGCAGCGAAAGCGAUAAACACACCGCCUGGGGAGUACGACCGCAAGGUUAAAACUCAAAUGAAUUGACGGGGACCCGCACAAGUAGUGGAGCAUGUGGUUUAAUUCGAAGAUACGCGUAGAACCUUACCAACACUUGACAUGUUCGUCGCGACUCUAAGAGAUUAGAGUUUUCGGUUCGGCCGGACGAAACACAGGUGCUGCAUGGCUGUCGUCAGCUCGUGUCGUGAGAUGUUGGGUUAAGUCCCGCAACGAGCGCAACCCUCACUUUUAGUUGCCAUCAUUUAGUUGGGCACUCUGAAAGAACUGCCAGUGAUAAGCUGGAGGAAGGUGGGGAUGACGUCAAGUCCUCAUGGCCCUUACGUGUUGGGCUACACACGUGCUACAAUGGUAUCUACAACAGGAAGCAAGACGGCGACGUCAAGCAAAUCCUUAAAAGAUACCUCAGUUCGGAUUGCACUCUGCAACUCGAGUGCAUGAAGCUGGAAUUACUAGUAAUCGUGGAUCAGCGUGCCACGGUGAAUGCGUUCCCGGGUCUUGUACUCACCGCCCGUCA